rnacentral:rRNA from 1 species
AUUGAACGCUGGCGGCAUGCUUUCCACAUGCAAGUCGGACGAGUGGCGAACGGGUGAGUAACGCAUCGGAACGUAUCGAGUAAUGGGGGAUAACUGUCCGAAAGGACAGAUAAUAUUGCAUAUUAUUCGAGCGGCCGAUGUCUGAUGAGCUGGUUGGCGGGGUAAAGGCCCACCAAGGCGACGCUCAGUAGCGGGGCUGAGAGGAUGAUCCGCCACACUGGGACUGAGACAAGGCCCAGAGUCCUACGGGAGGCAGCAGUGGGGAAUUUUGGACAAUGGGCGCAAGCCUGAUCCAGCCAUGCCGCGUGUCUGAAGAAGGCCUUCGGGUUGUAAAGGACUUUUGUCAGGGAAGCGGUACCUGAAGAAUAAGCACCGGCUAACUACGUGCCAGCAGCCGCGGUAAUUC